GGCAAAACUCCGUCUCAAAAAAAAAGUUUAAUACAUAAUUUAAUAAAUUUAAAUAGAUAAACAAGGUCUCACUCUUGUCUUCCAGGCUGCAGUGCAGUGACACAAUCACAGUUCAUUGCAGUGUUGACCUCCUGGGCUCAAGCUAUCCUCCCACCUCAGCCUCCCGAGUAGCUGGGAUGGCAGGCUUAUUCCACCAGCUAAUUUUUGUAUUUUUAGUAGAGAUGGGGUUUUGCAGUGUUGCCCAGGCUUAUCUCAAACUCCUGGGCUCAACCGAUCUGCCCAUUUCGACCUCCCAAAGUGCUGGGAUUACAUGCAUGAGCCACCACACCCGAUUUGACUCAAUAGUCAAAACUCUUUUUUGGAAACGGAGUUUCGCGCUUGUCGCCCGGGCUGGAGUGCGGUGGCGUGAUCUCGGCUCACUGCAACCUCCGUCUCCCGGGUCCAAGUGCUUCUUAUGCCUCAGCCUCCUGAGUAGCUGGGAUUACAGGCACCUGUCACCACGCCUGGCUAAUUUUUGUAUUUUUCGUAGAGACAGGGUUUUACCAUGUUUACCAGGCUAGUCUUGAAUUCCUGACCUUAGGUGCUCCGCCUGCCCCUGGCCUCCCUAAGUGCUGGGAUUACAGGCGUGAGCAACUGCGCCCAGCUGUCAAAACUCUUAAUUAGCCCGGUUUGGUAGUGCAUGCCUGAAGUUCCAGCUACUCAGUUGGGAGGAUCGCUUAAGCCUGGGAGGUACAGGCUGCGGUGAGCCAUGAUCAUGACACCACACACCAGCCUGGUGACAGACUUGUUGACAGACCCUGUCUCAAACAAAAUAAAAACAACAGGCAGUAAUAAAACCUUCUAGCCACCAAGCCUAGAGAGUUUUAUUAAUGAGAAUAGUGAGUUGUGAGUUUUGCUAAAUAUGCGGUUUCUUUGAAUUCCAGUUUUAUACAGAAAGUAUAAAGCUCUUGUCAAAAUUUUACAGUAACAGUACCAAAAUUAAAAAUAACUAAAUCUCUUUUUUUUUUUUUGGAUUAAGGUGAUUUGUUAUUUCUUUUUUUUUUAAUUAUACUUUAAGUUUUAGGGUACAUGUGCACAAUGUGCAGGUUAGUUACAUAUGUAUACAUGUGCCAUGCUGGUGUGCUGCACCCGUUAACUCGUCAUUUAGCAUUAGGUAUAUCUCCUAAUGCUAUCCCUCCCCCCUCCCCCCACCCCACAACAGUCCCCAGAGUGUGAUGUUCCCCUUCCUGUGUCCAUGUGUUCUCACUGUUGAAUUCCCAUCUAUGAGUGAGAACAUGCGGUGUUUGGUUUUUUGUCCUUGCCAUAGUUUGCUGAGAAUGAUGAUUUCCAAUUUCAUCCAUGUCCCUACAAAGGACAUGAACUCAUCAUUGUUUAUGGCUGCAUAGUAUUCCAUGGUGUAUAUGUGCCACAUUUUCUUAAUCCAGUCUAUCAUUGUUGGACAUUUGGGUUAGUUCCAAGUCUUUGCUAUUGUGAAUAGUGCCGCAAUAGACAUACGUGUGCAUGUGUCUUUAUAGCAGCAUGAUUUAUAGUCCUUUGGGUGUAUACCCAGUAGUGGGAUGGCUGGGUCAAAUGGUAUUUGUAGUUCUAGAUCCCUGAGGAAUCACCACACUGACUUCCACAAUGGUUAAACUAGUUUACAGUCCCACCAAUAGUGUAAAACUAUUCCUAUUUCUCAACAUCCUCUCCAGCACCUGUUGUUUCCUGACUUCUUAAUGAUUGCCAUUCUAACUGGUGUGAGAUGAUAUCCCAUUGUGGUUUUGAUUUGCAUUUCUCUGAUGGCCAGUGAUGAUGAGCAUUUUUUCAGUGUCUUUUGGCUGCAUAAAUGUCUUCUUUUGAGAAGUGUCUGUUCAUAUCCUUUGCCCACUUUUUGAUGGGGUUGUUUGGUUUUUUCUUGUAAAUUUGUUGGAGUUCACUGUAGAUUCUGGAUAUUAGCCCUUUGUCAGAUGAGUAGGUUGCGAAAAUUUUCUCCCAUUCUGUAGGUUGCCUGUUCACCCUGAUGGUAGUUUCUUUUGCUGUGCAGAAGCUCUUUAGUUUAAUUAGAUCCCAUUUGUCAAUUUUGGCUUUUAUUGCCAUUGCUUUUGGUGUUUCAGACAUGAAGUCCUUGCCCAUGCCUAUGUCCUGAAUGGUAAUGUCUAGGUUUUCUUCUAGGGUUUUUAUGGUUUUAGGUCUAACGUUUAAGUCUUUAAUCCAUCUUGAAUUAAUUUUUGUAUAAGCUGUAAAGAAGGGAUCCAGUUUCAGCUUUCUACAUAUGGCUAGCCAGUUUUCCCAGCACCGUUUAUUAAAUAGGGAAUCCUUUCCCCAUUGCUUGUUUUUCUCAGGUUUGUCAAAGAUCAGAUAGUUGUAGAUAUGUGGCGUUAUUUCUGAGGCCUCUGUUCUGUUCCAUUGAUUUAUAUCUCUGUUUUGGUACCAGUACCAUGCUGUUUUGGUUACUGUAGCCUUGUAGUAUAGUUUGAAGUCAGGUAGUGUGAUGCCUCCAGCUUUGUUCUUUUGGCUUAGGAUUGACUUGGAGAUGUGGGUUCCUUUUUGGUUCCAUAUGAACUUUAAAGUAGUUUUUUUCCAAUUCUGUGAAGAAAGGCAUUGGUAGCUUGAUGGGGAUGGCAUUGAAUCUAUAAAUUACCUUGGGCAGUAUGGCCAUUUUCACAAUAUUGAUUCUUCCUACCGAUGAGCAUGGAAUGUUCUUCCAUUUGUUUGUAUCCUCUUUUAUUUCCUUGAGCAGUGGUUUGUAGUUCUUCUUGAAGAGGUCCUUCACGUCCCUUGUAAGUUGGAUUCCUAAGUAUUUUAUUCUCUUUGAAGCAAUUGUGAAUGGGAGUUCACUCAUGAUUUGGCUCUCUGUUUGUCUGUUAUCGGUGUAUAAGAAUGCUUGUGAUUUUUGUACAUUGAUUUUGUAUCCUGAGACUUUGCUGAAGUUGCUUAUCAGCUUAAGGAGAUUUUGGGCUGAGACAAUGGGGUUUUCUAUACAUACAGUCAUGUCGUCUGCAAACAGGGACAAUUUGACUUCCUCUUUUCCUAAUUGAAUACCCUUUAUUUCCUUAUCCUGCCUAAUUGCCCUGGCCAGAACUUCCAACACUAUGUUGAAUAGGAGUGGUGAGAGAGGGCAUCCCUGUCUUGUGCCAGUUUUCAAAGGGAAUGCUUCCAGUUUUUGCCCAUUCAGUAAACAUGGAAAAAUAGCAAAUUAGAGACAGUGGGUAUUAACAAUUGCAUAUAUCACAAUAAAUGUAUGUUUAAUCUCAGGAAUGCAUGGCAGUUCUGUCUUUAGAAAAUGUAUUUUUUGUAUUUUUAUCAAUUUAGAGAUGCCCUUUUAAAAAAACAUAUUACAAAUUGGAAUAUUCAAAGGGCAGCUGUUUUAUUUUCUUCCUUGCUGAAACAUAAAAUAAUGACGUGUUUUAAAAUUUAUAGAAUCUUUGAUUUGAUCAAAUAUGGUAAUGUAAUUUGCCAUUCUAACAGAUCAAAAUCAGAAUCAGUAUGAUCAUCUAUCUUGAUUUGCGAGAAGCAUUUGAUAAUAUUCAAAAUCCAUUUAUGAAAAAACUCUUGGCAGAGGAGAAACAGCAAAGAAUUUUUAAAAUAUAAAGGGUAUGUACAAAACUGUAGUAACCAUCUUACUGAAAGAUCAAACUUGUUCCCUUUCAGCUUGGGAAUAAGACAGAGCUUCCUAUUAAGACCACCACAUCUACUCAUCUUUAAGCUGGUGAUUCUCACCAACACAUCUAAGCAUGAAAGAAAUAAAAAUUAUAAGAUAAAAAGGAAAGAAAACUCUCAGUACUUAAAGAUGAUAUAAUUACAUAGAAAAUCAAGAAGAUUCCAUGGAUAGGCUUCCCAAAAAACAAUAUGUAACAUACCAGCAACAAAUGGUAAGAAAAACACGUUGUUUUUUUUUUAAAGUACAUUUUCAGUGACAUUAAAUAAUAAGGAUUCAGGAAUACAACGAAUAUAACAAAAAUGUAAGAUAUCUAGGGAUGCGUAUAACAAAAAAAUUAUAAAGCUUCAUUUAAAACAUUUUUAAACAAAAUAAGUAGAAAGUAAUACCAUCUUUAUGGAACAGAGUCAGUAUUAUAAAUGUGUCAGUUUUCUUCAACUGGUCCAUAGACAACACAAUUUUAACUAAGAUUCCAAUUGGGAUUUCUGUGGAACUUGAUGAGUUAGGGCCAAAAGUAAUCAAGAUAUUCAUGAGGAAGGAUAACAGAAUGGCAAAACUUGCUUUAAUAAUUUGUGCAGGGAUAGACAAAUACUGUACACCAGUCUCUCAAUAGGGAGAUCAAAACCAAAUUCACACAGACAUGAAAAGUUGAUUUAUGACAGAUGAUGUUGCAGUCCCUGGGGAAAGAAUGGAAAUGGUGCUAGAAUAAUUGGUUUCUAUAUGUAUUUCUAUAUAUUUAUAUGCCAUUACAUUAAAGUCAAUGCCUAUGGAGUUUGGGAGGAGUGAUCAAAAUGUUCUGGAAUUAGAUGUGAUGUUUGCACAACUCUGUGAAUGUACUAAGAACCACUGAAUUGUAUAUUUUUAAAGCAUGGUAUGUGAAUAAUACCUCAAUAAAGCUGUUAUAAAAA
rnacentral:lncRNA from 1 species